AUGAACCCGAUGUCGGCCCCUGGCCCCGAUGGCUUGCCGGUUCGCUUUUUCUAGGCCUUCUGGCCGAUGGUCAAGGAUAUCAUCCUCGAUUUGUUUAGCGAGUUCUCUAGGGGUACCCUAGACAUGUCCCGACUUAACUACGGGAUUAUCUCCUUGAUUCCCAAGGUACGGGGAGCGGCGGACAUUAGAAAAUUCCGUCCCAUCAUAGUCCUCAAUGUGAUAUUUCGGAUCCUCGCUAAAGGGUACGCCACUAGGGCGGCCCUUAUUGCUCCCCGGAUUCAUCACCCGAACCAGUCGGCCUUCACAAAAGGGAGAUAUAUCUUAGAUGGGAUCCUUGCC
rnacentral:rRNA from 1 species